AAUUAUUACUGUGAAGCCCAGAACAGAAGAGGACGUCAUAACUCCACCUUACAUCUGAUUGUUGUGGCAGGUUCAUUGAAAUUUCCAGUUGUUCUAUCAGUCAGUGCUGUUGUUCUGGUCUUCAUACUUCUUCUCUCUGUCUUCAUAUGGAUUAGAAAGAGCUCCUUGCAAAAACAACCUGAGGCUGAUGAGACACCACACAACAGAGCAGAGCAGACAGAUGAAACUCAGGAUGCAACCAUACGAUUCGUAAGAAACCAGGCAGAGGCUCUCUACUCCAACAACAGCCCAGCUCAGCCCCUCAGAAACGAGGAGGAGGUUGUUUACGCGGCCCCCAACUUCAACAGUGCCGCAGGAACAAGGCCUCAAGCAGCUGUGGAGGAUGUAUCUGCCCUGUACAGCAGAGUUAGUAGACGACACUGAGUGUGGUGACAACAUGGAUCUGUGGUCUGUAUUUAUGCAUGGACUUUCUAUGCCUUUUCUUAGCAGGUGGCCCCAUUUGAUUUUUCCUCAGGACAGACUGGGCCAAGAAUGCAGAAUCAAGGCAGCAAUAAUCAUUUAUACAUCGAUUAUAUUAAUGAAGGACAGAUAGAUUAAAUAUUAGACACUUCUCUGAUGGACAUUUAAACCUU